rnacentral:rRNA from 1 species
UGCAAGUCGAACGGAGUUAUAAGAGUAGUAAUACAAUUAUAAUUUAGUGGCUAACGGGUGCGUAACACGUGAGCAAUCUGCCGGGAAGUGUGGGAUAGCUCGCCGAAAGGCGAAUUAAUACCGCAUGUGGCUAGGGGUGACAUCACUCUGAAGCCAAAGUCGCAAGACGCUUCCUGAUGAGCUCGCGGCCUAUCAGCUAGUUGGUGAGGUAACGGCUCACCAAGGCAAUGACGGGUAGCUGGUCUGAGAGGACGACCAGCCACACUGGAACUGAGACACGGUCCAGGCACCUACGGGUGGCAGCAGUCGAGAAUUUUUCACAAUGGGGGAAACCCUGAUGGAGCGACACCGCGUGGAGGACGAAGGUCUUCGGAUUGUAAACUCCUGUCAUGCGGGAACAAGAAAGUGAUAGUACUGCAAGAGGAAGAGACGGCUAACUCUGUGCCAGCAGCCGCGGUAAUACAGAGGUCUCAAGCGUUGUUCGGAUUCAUUGGGCGUAAAGGGUGCGUAGGUGGCGUGGAAAGUUGAGUGUGAAAUCCUAGGGCUUAACCUUAGAACUGCACUCAAUACUCCCAUGCUAGAGGAAUGUAGAGGAGAGUGGAAUUCACGGUGUAGCAGUGAAAUGCGUAGAUAUCGUGAGGAAGACCAGUUGCGAAGGCGACUCUCUGGGCAUCUCCUGACACUGAGGCACGAAGGCUAGGGGAGCAAACGGGAUUAGAUACCCCGGUAGUCCUAGCAGUAAACGGUGCACGUUUGGUGUGGGCAGGCUCAGACCCUGUCCGUGCCGGAGCUAACGCGUUAAACGUGCCGCCUGGGAAGUACGGUCGCAAGAU